rnacentral:rRNA from 1 species
UCGCGAAUUAUUCGCAAUGGACGCAAGUCUGACGAUGCUACGCCGCGUGCAGGAGGAAGGCCUUCGGGUUGUAAACUGCUGUCGAGGGAGGGGAAGGUCACAGCGUGAAUAGCGUUGUGGUUGACUGCUCCCUGAAGGAAGCUCCGGCAAAACAUGUGCCAGCAGCCGCGGUAAUACAUGUGGAGCGAGCGUUGUUCGGAGUUACUGGGCAUAAAGGGUGCGUAGGCGGCACGGUAAGUCAGUGGUGAAAGCCAGCGGCCCAACCGUUGGAAUGCCAUUGAUACUGCGGUGCUGGAGUGCGCGAGGGGUGGGUGGAACGAGUGGUGUAGCGGUGAAAUGCGUAGAUAUCACUCGGAAGGCCGGAGCCGAAGGGGGCCCACUGGAGCGCAACUGACGCUGA